GAUGAACGCUGGCGGCGUGCCUAAUACAUGCAAGUCGAGCGAACAGACGAGGAGCUUGCUCCUCUUACGUUAGCGGCGGACGGGUGAGUAACACGUGGAUAACCUACCUAUAAGACUGGGAUAACUUCGGGAAACCGGAUCUAAUACCGGAUAAUAUAUUGAACCGCAUGGUUCAAUAGUGAAAGACGGUUUUGCUGUCACUUAUAGAUGGAUCCGCGCCGCAUUAGCUAGUUGGUAAGGUAACGGCUUACCAAGGCAACGAUGCGUAGCCGACCUGAGAGGGUGAUCGGCCACACUGGAACUGAGACACGGUCCAGACUCCUACGGGAGGCAGCAGUAGGGAAUAUUCCGCAAUGGGCGAAAGCUUGACGGAGCAACGCCGCGUGAGUGAUGAAGGUCUUCGGAUCGUAAAACUCUGUUAUUAGGGAAGAACAAAUGUGUAAGUAACUAUGCACGUCUUGACGGUACCUAAUCAGAAAGCCACGGCUAACUACGUG
rnacentral:rRNA from 1 species